AUGAACAGCAAGGAGGAAAAGUCCUGUCUUUCUUUAAUCGGAGCCUCGCCUGGGAAUGGUCUUCAGAAUGAAAGUCUGUCUUUUUGUUCAGCUCUCUGUUGGAGUCCACUUGACCAGUAUUGCAAGAUAAUAUUAAUACUAUGCUGUCAAAACUUGUCAAUCCAAGGAGAGCAGGUAUGACUCAGUGGAAAAUAUCCCCAUCAGAAAGAGACUUUCCCAGCGGCCUAUCUGAGUGUACGGAAAGAUAAAUGCUAUGGUUCAGACUUUCCCUCCAGAGAGAGACUGUUCUUCAGGGAAAGUCAAAACAGACACAUGCUCAAGUAGGCUCAACAGAUUUUACAAGAUAUGACAUAAACGACAAAGAAUUUCUAGCAGUGGUUCUCUGUAGACGGAUUUAUGAAAGAUCGAGGGCUUGAGGAUUAAACUCUCUGUUGGCUGGGGUGAGACAACCUGAUUAUCCAGUCCAGCUGGAAAAGAGACAAGCAGCAAAGUCCACCCCAAGAAAAUUAAUCUAGUUAAAUGGUGCAAUGCUGUCUUCAGCUGGCAGUGUCUGGGUGACACUGAACAUAAACACUCAUGGGUUGUGACUUGCAUUGACAUUCUUAAGAGAACAACAAGAGACACAAAGAAAAUGUUACUGUGUGUUAAAUUCAUCACUGCAGAGACUGAACAAAGUGAACAAAAAGUAAAUUGAAGGAAUGGUUUCGUAUAGCAGGGAACUAUGCAGCUAUAGGCCAUUAGGAAGAUGCAUCCAUAAUGUGUAAUGAAGAUUAAUGUUAUCUUUAACCCAAUUAAAUAUUUUUUAUAUGAAAGUACUUUGGCUGAAAUAUACCUCAGAAACUUUCCUUGCUAAAAUUGUGCUCUGUAGUCCAUAAUCUGCUGGGUUUUAUUUUGCAUUUUUACUGAAAGUCACACAGCCAAGCAGAUCUUUGCUGGCAUAUUGAAGACGCGUGGAGAGAAGCAAGGAGCAGGAAGGAUAAGAUGGGAAAAAUUAUGUGAGUAAAAAUAAAUGGAGAAAAAUUCUGUGUAAUGGCA
rnacentral:lncRNA from 1 species